GAUGAAGAACGUAGCGAAAUGCGAUAAGUAAUGUGAAUUGCAGAGUUCAGUGAAUCAUCGAAUCUUUGAACGCACAUUGCGCCCCCUGGUAUUCCGGGGGGCAUGCCUGUCCGAGCGUCAUUGCUGCCCUCAAGCACGGCUUGUGUGUUGGGCUCCGUCCCCCCGGGGACGGGUCCGAAAGGCAGCGGCGGCACCGAGUCCGGUCCUCGAGCGUAUGGGGCUUUGUCACCCGCUCUGUAGGCCCGGCCGGCGCCAGCCGACAACCAAUCAUCCUUUUUUCAGGUUGACCUCGGAUCAGGUAGGGAUACCCGCUGAACUUAAGCAUAUCAAUAAGCGGAGGA
rnacentral:misc_RNA from 1 species